rnacentral:rRNA from 1 species
AUUGAACGCUGGCGGUAUGCUUAACACAUGCAAGUCGAACGGUAACAGGCCUUCGGGCGCUGACGAGUGGCGGACGGGUGAGUAACGCGUAGGAAUCUGCCUUAUAGUGGGGGACAACGUGGGGAAACCCACGCUAAUACCGCAUACCGCCCUACGGGGGAAAGGAGGGAUCUUCGGACCUUUCGCUAUGAGAUGAGCCUGCGUUAGAUUAGCUAGUUGGUGGGGUAAGAGCCUACCAAGGCGACGAUCCGUAGCUGGUCUGAGAGGAUGACCAGCCACACUGGGACUGAGACACGGCCCAGACUCCUACGGGUGCUG